UAACGCGUGGGCAACCUGCCUUACACAGGGGGAUAACAGUUAGAAAUGACUGCUAAUACCGCAUAAGACCACGAAACUGCAUGGUUUUGUGGUAAAAACUCCGGUGGUGUAAGAUGGGCCCGCGUCUGAUUAGGUAGUUGGCGGGGUAACGGCCCACCAAGCCGACGAUCAGUAGCCGACCUGAGAGGGUGACCGGCCACAUUGGGACUGAGACACGGCCCAGACUCCUACGGGAGGCAGCAGUGGGGAAUAUUGCACAAUGGGGGAAACCCUGAUGCAGCGACGCCGCGUGAGCGAUGAAGUAUUUCGGUAUGUAAAGCUCUAUCAGCAGGGAAGAAAAUGACGGUACCUGACUAAGAAGCCCCGGCUAACUACGUGCCAGCAGCCGCGGUAAUACGUAGGGGGCAAGCGUUAUCCGGAUUUACUGGGUGUAAAGGGAGCGUAGACGGCCAUUCAAGCCAGAUGUGAAAGCCCGGGGCUCAACCCCGGGACUGCAUUUGGAACUGUAUGGCUGGAGUGUCGGAGAGGCAGGCGGAAUUCCUAGUGUAGCGGUGAAAUGCGUAGAUAUUAGGAGGAACACCAGUGGCGAAGGCGGCCUGCUGGACGAUGACUGACGUUGAGGCUCGAAAGCGUGGGGAGCAACAGGAUUAGAUACCCUGGUAGU
rnacentral:rRNA from 1 species